rnacentral:rRNA from 1 species
GCAGCAGGGAAUCUUGGGCAAUGGGCGAAAGCCUGACCCAGCGACGUCGCGUGGGGGACGAAGGCCUUAGGGUUGUAAACCCCUUUUCCGAGGGAAGAUACAGGACGGUACCUCGGGAAUAAGCCCCGGCUAACUACGUGCCAGCAGCCGCGGUAAUACGUAGGGGGCGAGCGUUACCCGGAAUCACUGGGCGUAAAGUGCGCGUAGGCGGUUGGAUAAGUCUCUUGUGAAAGCUCCCGGCUCAACUGGGAGAGGUCAAGGGAUACUAUUCGACUUGAGGACAACAGAGGUAAGCAGAAUUCCCGGUGUAGCGGUGGAAUGCGUAGAUAUCGGGAGGAACACCAGUGGCGAAAGCGGCUUACUGGGUUGUAACUGACGCUGAGGCGCGAGAGCGUGGGGAGCAAACUGGAUUAGAUACCCAGGUAGUCCACGCCCUAAACGAUGGAUACUAGGUAUGGGGGGUAUUGACCCCCUCCGUGCCGUAGCUAACGCGUUAAGUAUCCCGCCUG